rnacentral:misc_RNA from 1 species
UACAGAGGCCCCGAGCGUUAUCCGGAAUUAUUGGGCGUAAAGGGUGUGUAGGCGGUCUUGUUAGUCUUUUGUUAAAGCCUUGGGCUCAACUCAAGAGAUGCAAAGGAAACGGCAAGACUAGAGAGUGCGAGAGGUAUAUGGAACUCAUGGAGUAGGGGUGAAAUCCGUUGAUAUCAUGGGGAACACCAAAAGCGAAGGCAAUAUACUGGCGCAUUUCUGACGCUGAGACACGAAAGCGUGGGUAGCGAACGGG